AGAGGGAUAAGACAACUGCAAUUCAAUGUAGCAUCAAGACGGGAAGAAAAACACAGCCCUUGAAGAUUCCAAGGAGAAAGAUCUAACUCACUGGAGAAAGAUCAAACUCAUUGUGAUAUCAAAGAAGCCUGAGGAAGGAGGUCGCAUUUGAAAUGGGCUUUGAGUGGCGGAUGAGCAGUGGUUACAGGAAAGGGAAAGGCAUUUCAGAUGGGAACAGCAGCACCAGCAGGAACAUGGAGAUGCAAAAGGCAUCCACUGGGCAUCUUGGAACAUAACCACCGAGGAUAAGGGGGCACUACUUUGUUAGACUCCACAGAUGAACAAGGGUCAGUUGUCCACACUGACCACUGUGGCCAGCCUGGAUCACAUGCCUGCCCUGCAGUGAAAUCAGCAGGACACUGGACUCACCUGGGUCACUUAGGAUGGAAAAGAACUUCUCCAAGUGAACCAGAAGAAGGG
rnacentral:lncRNA from 1 species